rnacentral:rRNA from 1 species
UCUCCUACGGGGGGCAGCAGUGGGGGAUAUUGGACAAUGGGGGAAACCCUGAUCCAGCGAUGCCGCGUGAGGGAAGAAGGUUUGCGGAUUGUAAACCUCUGUGGAGGGGGACGAUAAUGACGGUACCCCUUUAGGAAGCCACGGCUAACUACGUGCCAGCAGCCGCGGUAAUACGUAGGGGGCAAGCGUUAUCCGGAUUUACUGGGUGUAAAGGGGGCGCAGACGGCAGCGCAAGCCAGGAGUGAAAGCCCGGGGCCCAACCCCGGGACUGCUCUUGGAACUGCGCGGCUGGAGUGCAGGAGGGG